GGGUUUGGAAUACCUGGUUGUGAUUACGUUUUGUGUUUUAGGAGUACAUCAUGAGAAUAUGUCAAAGGUACCUUCCCUUUAAGAGGAGAAAAUCCCAUUUUAUUUCUAAUAGAUUUCAUUUCAAGUAUUCAGAGAAAAAUCCUUGUGGAAUAACUUAUGCAACAAAAAUCAAGGUAGCUGUCAAUUACAUAUUAUUAUAUAUAACCAUUUGCUAUUAAUGUCUCUUAAUAAUGUCUGUUCUAAAUGAAAACUACAGAGCUUCUGCUUAAUUAAGUUUGAGUUGAACACAAACUUGUUUAUAAAUAGAUUUUAUUAGGUUUGAAUACCUUCUCCACAGUUCUGCAUGCUUACAGACCUUCCCACUACGAAAGGCAAUGGAAACAUGAGGCCUGGUAUUUGCACAUUCACAUUUAAUAGCUGUGCUAUUAAUAAUUGCCCAAAGAGGGAAAUAGUGCCAGCAGUCACCAGUGAAGAAAGUAUGGCAUACACCAGCAAGAUGAUCGUACUUGCUACAAGAGAGGAGGAAAUUCUACAAGGCAGGGAUGAGUCAGGAGGAUAUGAUACCAAAGGAAAUGAGCUAAUCACGAAGAAAUGCUUGCUGAGUGACUCCGUCUAUUUGAGC
rnacentral:lncRNA from 1 species